rnacentral:rRNA from 1 species
UAGGGAAUCUUCCGCAAUGGACGAAAGUCUGACGGAACAACGCCGCGUGAGUGAUGAAGGUUUUCGGAUCGUAAAACUCUGUUGUUAGGGAAGAACAAGUACCGUUCGAAUAGGGCGGUACCUUGACGGUACCUAACCAGAAAGCCACGGCUAACUACGUGCCAGCAGCCGCGGUAAUACGUAGGUGGCAAGCGUUGUCCGGAAUUAUUGGGCGUAAAGCGCGCGCAGGCGGUUUCUUAAGUCUGAUGUGAAAGCCCCCGGCUCAACCUGGGAGGGUCUUUGGAAACUGGGGAACUUGAGUACGGAAGAGGAGAGUGGAAUUCCACGUGUAGCGGUGAAAUGCGUAGAGAUGUGGAGGAACACCAGUGGCGAAGGCGACUCUCUGGUCUGUAACUGACGCUGAGCGCGAAAGCGUGGGGAGCGAACAGGAUUAGAUACCCUGGUAGUC